GAAAGGUGACUUACAUAAACACAGCCAAGUAUCAUCAUUAUUCAGCUUUCAUAUUACUGCACUUGACAUUUUCUCAGGUAGUUUUCAUAUUCCGCUUCUAACUGCUAGCACAGGUUACGAUUCUAUAACUUGAUUGUCUAAAAUAUCUAGAUUCGUUGGUAUUUAAAAAGGAAAUAUAUUGCGAUUAGUUAAAAAAGAAAAAAAAAAAACAAGUAGAGACGUGAGAGGAGUCUAGUCCUUGAUUUUAAAUAGAGCGCGCGAUUGAGGCCUACGCGCUGCAUUUGUUUAUAACCCACAAUACACCGAGCCCUCAACCAGCCGGGGAGCCUCGUGUGUCUCUGUGCUUUGUGAAGCCUCCACUAUAAUAUCCCAGUGUCAUCCGCGUCCCGGCGCGUCUUGGUGACUUUACGAGGUGAGGGAAUCAUACGCCGCACACUGCAGGAUGCCGUGGCAAGAAGCACUUCCGAAGCGAGGGUGCGUGGGUGGAGCUGGUGGGCGUCUGGCUGGCGCUGGCGGGCGGCUGCGGCGGUGCUGAGGCCAAGGAUUGAGUUCAGAGAGCCAUGAUCCUCCUUUCUCUCACGACCCCUCGCCCCCGCCAUUUCAGACACCCUGCCCCGCAGACCCCGCUCCACACACCCGGCCCCGCCCCUUCCGCCCCCUCCCACCACCUCCAGGAUCAAGCCUCAGCUAGCCCAGUGUGGGUGAAGGAUCAGAUGAACAUGAGUGGAACAGAAAAUACGCGAGAUACACUCCAGGACGCACCGAGAAUAUUCUAGACGUGCUGUGGAGAAACAGACCCUCCGUGUUGCAGCGACUUGACCUCUGCAUUGAGGCGGGUGGUGGUCAACUUCCACUGGGCACCAACCAACAUACACAGAGCAGGAGUUGCCGAUCCAAAGGCCUGGCUCAGGAGAGAUCCUGUGCCAUCUGUACCAUCAAGAUCAAGAUCAAGACCGCUCCGCCUUCCUCGGCUCUCCAUUCCUUCCCCUCCUGCCCCUCUCCCCUCAUUUCCUCUCUCUCUCUCUCUCUCUCUCUCUCUCUCUCUCUCUCUCUCUCUCUCUCUCUCUCUCUCUCUCUCUCUCUCUCUCUCUCUCUCUCUCUCUCUCUCUCUCGUAUGAUGCACGCACUCUAUUUUGCAGCAGGUGGAUAUCAAUUUUCAGUGUAUCUGUGUGGUUGCGUCUACUUUGUCCUCCUGGGCGUGAAGUGAACGGAGUACAGUAAAUAAGGUGCAAAUGUUUGUCGGUAAACACAGGCUGAUCUCCACACUUGAAAUCCGUAUAAUUUUGAAGUUUUCUCGCUAUUUGCUAUGUUACGGUGGUAUGUGUGUGUGUGUGUGGGUGUGGGUGUGUGUAUUGGAACAGAGAACGUGGGAAGAGGAAGGUUUUUUUUUUUUUUUCACCCUCUGUGGUAGCGAGGGUACGUUGCUACAAAGCGGUAAUAGGGACCGGAACGGGGACAGGUAAUUGGCCGUGGAGUGCCACAGAUAUAUCUUGAUUUUGUGGGGCCAAAAUCCUCGUUUUGUCUCCGCAGGUCUUCGUAAAUUCUUUCCAGGGCCAAUCUUAAAGUACAGGAAUUGACUUAACCAUAGCACAUAUCAGUUAACAUUUAAGUUGAGUAAUCACACUGAAUACAUUUUUGCUGCAUACCAAUAAUUGAUGGUUAGCCUGGUAUGGAGAUUCAGCAAAUGAGUGUGUUAAUAGACUCCCCCGCCUGUGAUGUCUGUGAUGACGUCAAGGUAACUAGUGUAUUAAAACAUAUGGGUAAAUUUUCGUGUGUUCCAGAUAUACGGCAAGCGAAAUUGUUUAUAUUGUGAUUCAUGGAAGGAUAUUUGUAACGUGUCAUUGCUAAUACGUGAUAGGUGCGCCACGGCGGAUCACUCCCUCUCUCCAACAGCCAUCUAUUUAUCUAUCUAUCUAUCUAUCUAUCUAUCUAAUCUAUCUGUUGAACUGUGGCUGACAGUAGCAUGAGGUAAAUACUUGAGAAGGUCUUGUCAGCACGGAACCUUAAGUUGUAGAGGAACGUGUAGAAACAAAAUACUUCAGAAACUGCAGUCUAAGAGGGACAAGGGAACUCCAUAUACGAGUUUCCAGAAUACAAUGUUUUGACAGUCUGAAGAAAGGUUUCCUGUAAUUCUCUCUCUCUCUCUCUCUCUCUCUCUCUCUCUCUCUCUCUCUCUCUCUCUCUCUCUCUCUCUCUCUCUCUCUCUCUCUCUCUCUCUCUCUCUCUCUCUCUCUCUCUCUCUCUCUCUCUCUCAUAUGAUUCAACUCAGUUCAUUUCACACACACACACACACACACACACACACACACACACACACACACACACACACACACACACACACACACACACACACACACACACACACACACACACACAAAGCAUUCUCCCUUAACCCUACACCACACACCCACACAAACCAUGAUUACUUAACGACACCCACGCACAGCACAUGUACGGCCUGGACUACUGGCUGAUGGCUGGCAAUUAAGGUAAAGGUAGACGAUCACGUGGACAGCAGGGUACGACGGCGGCGGCGGUGACAAAGGCGGGAAUGGUGGUGGUGUUGGAGGGACGGGCGUAGCGUGUCUAGACCUCUUUGUCCCUUCAGGAGCACGGCCGAGUGAUAGAAAGGGGAGAGGGAGUGUUGUUGUUCCUGCUGGUUUUUAUGCUUUUGAUGAAAAUGAGUUGUCUCCCUAAUUAAGUUUAUCAGAUCCUUCCACAGCCAGCAGUUCCAGUUCGUACCCUGUGACUUGAUGGAUGUCACGGUUUUCUUUCUUUCCUGACAUAUUUUUUUUUUUUUUUCAACUGAGUCGUACCUCCCUUCCCUUCUUUGCGGCGUCUUCCCUUUAAUUCUCCUACCUGUUCUCACCUGCCUACUUAGCCCUCUUCGCAUUUACCUGCACGUCACUUUCGUUGACACCUGUAGAUAAACUUGCUACUUUAGUUGAAACUUCGAUAUUUUUUACACUCUUACUAGAAUUCCUUGACUUUAUUAAAAUCUUCAUAAUUUCCAGAUUUUAUUUUACUUGUAAUUUCACCAAAAUACAACAAUUUUUCCCUUUUCUUUAUUUCUCUCUCUAUCUUCGGAGACGCUUCCUUGUUGCAGUCUGUGGGUCUCUCCGUCUUGCUCCAUUUUUGGCCAAUAUACCAUCCUUUUUCUUUAAAUGAGUUCGGAAAUGUAUCACUCGAUUUCCAAUUGCCAUUACUCACCCCCUAAUGGUCCACCGUGUGUCCGGACCGUGACGGACGCUAAUAAUGCCACCAGGACAUCCGAGCCAAGAGUUACGGUGUAGUUUCUUUCGUUGUGGGGAAGGGAAUUGAACACAUUGGUUUUCAUGUGAUGGUUUUAUUGUUUAGAUUGUUGAAUGGAACGGAAAGCUGGGA